GAGUUUUGAUCAUGGCUCAGGAUGAACGCUAGCUACAGGCUUAACACAUGCAAGUCGAGGGGAAACGACAUCGAAAGCUUGCUUUUGAUGGGCGUCGACCGGCGCACGGGUGAGUAACGCGUAUCCAACCUGCCCACCACUUGGGGAUAACCUUGCGAAAGUAAGACUAAUACCCAAUGAUAUCUCUAGAAGACAUCUGAAAAGAGAUUUAAAGAUUCAUCGGUAGUAUGGAUGGGGAGUGCGUCUGAUUAGCUUGUUGGCGGGGUAACGGCCCACCAAGGCAACGAUCAGUAGGGGUUCUGAGAGGAAGGUCCCCCACAUUGGAACUGAGACACGGUCCAAACUCCUACGGGAGGCAGCA
rnacentral:rRNA from 1 species